GGACUACUGGGGUUUCUAAUCCCGUUUGCUCCCCUGGCUUUCGUGUUUCAGAGUCAGGAAUCUUCCAGGUAACCGCCUUCGCCACCGGUGUUCCUCAUGAUAUCUACGCAUUUCACUGCUACACCAUGAAUUCCGUUACCCCCUCCGAUCCUCUAGCCAGGCAGUAUCGAGCGCAGUUUCAGAGUUAAGCUCUGAGAUUUCACACACGACUUACCUGACCUCCUACACACCCUUUACGCCCAAUGAAUCCGAACAACGCUCGGGACCUCUGUCUUACCGCGGCUGCUGGCAC
rnacentral:rRNA from 1 species